rnacentral:rRNA from 1 species
GUAAUGUCUGGGAAACUGCCUGAUGGAGGGGGAUAACUACUGGAAACGGUGGCUAAUACCGCAUAACGUCGCAAGACCAAAGAGGGGGACCUUCGGGCCUCUUGCCAUCAGAUGUGCCCAGAUGGGAUUAGCUUGUUGGUGAGGUAACGGCUCACCAAGGCGACGAUCCCUAGCUGGUCUGAGAGGAUGACCAGCCACACUGGAACUGAGACACGGUCCAGACUCCUACGGGAGGCAGCAGUGGGGAAUAUUGCACAAUGGGCGCAAGCCUGAUGCAGCCAUGCCGCGUGUAUGAAGAAGGCCUUCGGGUUGUAAAGUACUUUCAGCGGGGAGGAAGGUGUUGUGGUUAAUAACCGCAGCAAUUGACGUUACCCGCAGAAGAAGCACCGGCUAACUCCGUGCCAGCAGCCGCGGUAAUACGGAGGGUGCAAGCGUUAAUCGGAAUUACUGGGCGUAAAGCGCACGCAGGCGGUCUGUCAAGUCGGAUGUGAAAUCCCCGGGCUCAACCUGGGAACUGCAUUCGAAACUGGCAGGCUUGAGUCUUGUAGAGGGGGGUAGAAUUCCAGGUGUAGCGGUGAAAUGCGUAGAGAUCUGGAGGAAUACCGGUGGCGAAGGCGGCCCCCUGGACAAAGACUGACGCUCAGGUGCGAAAGCGUGGGGAGCAAACAGGAUUAGAUACCCUGGUAGUCCACGCCGUAAACGAUGUCUACUUGGAGGUUGUGCCCUUGAGGCGUGGCUUCCGGAGCUAACGCGUUAAGUAGACCGCCUGGGGAGUACGGCCGCAAGGUUAAAACUCAAAUGAAUUGACGGGGGCCCGCACAAGCGGUGGAGCAUGUGGUUUAAUUCGAUGCAACGCGAAGAACCUUACCUGGUCUUGACAUCCACAGAACUUUCCAGAGAUGGAUUGGUGCCUUCGGGAACUGUGAGACAGGUGCUGCAUGGCUGUCGUCAGCUCGUGUUGUGAAAUGUUGGGUUAAGUCCCGCAACGAGCGCAACCCUUAUCCUUUGUUGCCAGCGGUCCGGCCGGGAACUCAAAGGAGACUGCCAGUGAUAAACUGGAGGAAGGUGGGGAUGACGUCAAGUCAUCAUGGCCCUUACGACCAGGGCUACACACGUGCUACAAUGGCGCAUACAAAGAGAAGCGACCUCGCGAGAGCAAGCGGACCUCAUAAAGUGCGUCGUAGUCCGGAUUGGAGUCUGCAACUCGACUCCAUGAAGUCGGAAUCGCUAGUAAUCGUGGAUCAGAAUGCCACGGUGAAUACGUUCCCGGGCCUUGUACACACCGCCCGUCACACCAUGGGAGUGGGUUGCAAAAGAAGUAGGUAGCUUAACCUUCGGGAGGGCGCUUACCACUUUGUGAUUCAUGACUGGGGUGAAGUCGUAACAAGGUAACCGUAGGGGAACCUGCGGUUGGA